rnacentral:rRNA from 1 species
UACGUAGGUGGCAAGCGUUGUCCGGAUUUACUGGGCGUAAAGGGAGCGUAGGCGGACUUUUAAGUGAGAUGUGAAAUACCCGGGCUCAACUUGGGUGCUGCAUUUCAAACUGGAAGUCUAGAGUGCAGGAGAGGAGAAUGGAAUUCCUAGUGUAGCGGUGAAAUGCGUAGAGAUUAGGAAGAACACCAGUGGCGAAGGCGAUUCUCUGGACUGUAACUGACGCUGAGGCUCGAAAGCGUGGGAAGCAAACAGGAUUAGAUACCCU